GGGGCUGACUGGCUUUGACAGCGCGUAGAGGUGGUGUGUAAGCAUGCAGAGCGAUGAUGCCUACGCUCUAUAAUCAGAGACAUCAAAAAUUCAAAUGGCGAAAACAACUACGCUCUUGCUGCUUGAUUGAAGUACAGUAGAUCAGCUUAAUCCCCGCGACAGUCGCAGGGACAAGACGUCACCCAGCCUGUUAACCGUUCCGAGACGGGCUGAUGUGGUGGCGCAGUAAAUCGGAAAUAGGAGUCCGAAAGCCUCGAGAAGGCUCCGAAACCUUAGAGGAUAAGGCGGCGGUUGGUAGUCUUCAGCCUGCCGACGCUCGAAAACCAAGCGAAGACUAAGCAUGUAGAAAGCACAUUAGUUCCGCGUUUGGACGAGGGUUCAAUCCCCUCCAGCUCCACCC
rnacentral:tmRNA from 1 species